AAGUCGUAACAAGGUUUCCGUAGGUGAACCUGCGGAAGGAUCAUUAUUGAAUAAACGUUGAUAGGCUGUUGCUGGCUCUCCUCCCCUACCAAAGGGUGGGGGGCAAUGUGCACGCUUGUCAUCUUUAUUUUUCCACCUGUGCACUCUUUGUAGAACCCUAGAGAAGUAAUUUGUCUGAGAAAAUCAGAUAGGUUUUUGAGGAUUGCUGUGUCUUUCAAUUGUUUGGAUGGGCCAGCUUUGACCUUGGGUAUCUAGGUUCUAUGUCAUUUCACAUACUCCUACGAAUGUAACAGAAUGUUGAUGGCUGGGUCUUUAGUACCUUUAAAAGUUAUAUACAACUUUCAGCAACGGAUCUCUUGGCUCUC
rnacentral:misc_RNA from 1 species